UAGGGAAUAUUGCACAAUGGGGGAAACCCUGAUGCAGCGACGCCGCGUGAGUGAUGAAGGCCUUCGGGUCGUAAAGCUCUGUUGAACGGGAAGAAACAAAUGACGGUACCGUUUAAGAAAGGAUCGGCUAACUUCGUGCCAGCAGCCGCGGUAAUACGAGGGAUCCUAGCGUUGUUCGGAAUCAUUGGGCGUAAAGAGUAUGUAGGCGGCCUAGUAAGUCAGUUGUGAAAGCCCCGGGCUCAACCCGGGAAGUGCAAUUGAUACUGCUUGGCUUGAAUGUGGAAGAGGGCAGUAGAAUUCCAGGUGUAGUGGUGAAAUACGUAGAUAUCUGGAGGAAUACCGGUGGCGAAGGCGGCUGCCUGGUCCUACAUUGACGCUGAGAUACGAAAGCGUGGGGAGCAAACAGGAUUAGAUACCCAGGUAGUCCCUGAGCGGGCUGGCAAGGCGCAU
rnacentral:rRNA from 1 species